CUUAACCUACGGGGCGCAGCAGUGGGGAAUAUUGCACAAUGGGGGAAACCCUGAAGCAGCAACGCCGCGUGGAGGAUGAAGGUUUUCGGAUUGUAAACUCCUUUUGUUAGAGAAGAUAAUGACGGUAUCUAACGAAUAAGCACCGGCUAACUCCGUGCCAGCAGCCGCGGUAAUACGGAGGGUGCAAGCGUUACUCGGAAUCACUGGGCGUAAAGAGCGCGUAGGCGGCAUAAUAAGUUAGAAGUGAAAUACCCAGAGCUUAACUCGGGUGCUGCUUCUAAGACUGUUGAGCUUGAGUGCGGGAG
rnacentral:rRNA from 1 species